GUCCACGCCGUAAACGAUGAGUACUAGGUGUUGCGGGUAUUGACCCCUGCAGUGCCGCAGCUAACGCAUUAAGUACUCCGCCUGGGAAGUACGGUCGCAAGACUAAAACUCAAAGGAAUUGACUGGGGCCCCGCACAAGCGGUGGAGCAUGUGGUUUAAUUCGACGCAACGCGCAGAACCUUACCUGGGCUUGACAUCCACGGAACCUCUAUGAAAGUAGGGGGUGCCCUUCGGGGAGCCGUGAGACAGGUGCUGCAUGGCUGUCGU
rnacentral:rRNA from 1 species